rnacentral:tRNA from 1 species
GGGAGUGCAAGGGUACCUGGUGGGCCCCGCGGACUUCAAAUCCGUAGUGUUGCGGCAACAGUCGUGAUAGGUGGGUUCGAUUCCCACACAUUCCCG